AACAUCGCCCUUUGAAAAAAUAAUUAUAAAGGGUACUGCCUGCCCAGUGAUAAAAAUUAAACGGCCGCGGUACUUUGACCGUGCAAAGGUAGCAUAAUCAUUUGUUCUUUAAUUGAGGACUAGUAUGAAAGGCAAAACGAAAGCUUAACUGUCUCCUUUUUAAAAAAUAAAAUUAAUAUUUUCGUGAAGAAGCAAAAAUAAUAAAGUAAGACGAGAAGACCCUGUCGAGCUUAAGAAAAUUUCUAUAAUAAAAUUUUUUAAAGAUAAACAAAUUUUACUACAAAAAUAAAAUAAAAAUAUCUUUGGUUGGGGCAACCACGAAGAAAAAAAAACCUUCGUUCAAAAAAAGAAAUUUACAAAUUUAAAAAUUAUUUAAAAUUCAAAAGAUCCAGAAAAUUCUGAUCAUAGAAAAAAGUUACCGCAGGGAUAACAGCGUUAUUCUCUUUAAGAGCUCUUAUUGACAAGAGAGUUUGCGACCUCGAUGUUGGACCGGGGCACCCAAGAGGUGUAGAAGCCUCUAAAGGUAGGUCUGUUCGACCUUUAAAGCCCUACGUGAU
rnacentral:rRNA from 1 species